rnacentral:lncRNA from 1 species
UUAUAGUUUUCGUAAUUGGCAACACUGGUGUACUUCAGUCAGUUUGCUAGAAGUCAGUUUGAUUAGAAUAAAUGUCAACGGUUUGAUUGCUUUGCGACUAUCGUUUCUUUUGUGAUUUUCUAUGCGUUUCAUGGUUUUAUUCUAACAACUUUGGCUUGAUUACGGACUCCGAUUAGAUUGCGUACUUGGUAGACUCAGCUGUGUGUAAAGGACUGGAUUUUCCUGGCAUUUUCGGAUAUUGCUCUGUCUGUGAUCGAAUUUAGUUGUAUUAUAAUUACAACAAUGGAUGCAGAAUAUAGUAUAUUGUAUAAAUUGUGGAUCUGCUGGAGGUUCUUUGGUAUUAGAAAACGAAGAUAUACUUCGUUGCAUACAACAAUGGACUGUUCCCCGUAUGGUUGAAGCUCAUGACCUUAUAUGUACGACGUGUUGGUCUGAAGCAGUCGAGCAUAAUAAGAUGCAAUGCACUGUUGGACGCAAUUGUGUACUUUGUAAGAAGCUCCUAACAUCAGGCAUUACUGUUGCAAUUGUAUCGUUGGGCGUAGAACAGUGGGCUGUUGUGCCCACAUAAUGACUAUAAUUUGGUAUUUAAGCUGGGCGAGAUACCAAAAUUCAAUUGAACCCCCUGCUCAGUUCUUAGAUAAUAUAUUAUUGAGAAAUAUUGAUGAUUAAAAACCUUUAAUUGAAUAUAAA